CACAGCAAAAUCACCAGUGUUAAAUUUUCAGGGAUGGUGUUAAAUACACAGUGUUGAUGCUGUUUUAACACUAUCUGGUAAUAAAAUAACACUGCCAUUGCUAGGCCAGUGUUAUAUCCACGACAGUGUCAGUGUAAAACAAGGGUGUUACCAGAUUUCACACUGAGCGGUGUAAAUCAAGCCACGCCUCCACUAAACAUAUCCUGUCAGGGAUUUUACCGCCAUUUUCUUUCAAAGGAGGACUGAAGAGAUGAGAUGCUAGUUUGGUGAAAGUACACACUGAGUGCUUCAAAUCAUUCAGAAGAGAUGCUGUUUUUAAGGGGAGUUUAUUAAAGAAGACCUGACAUGGAUGACUUCCAAUGAGAAACGACUGCUAAUACUUAUAUAAAUUCAUUACAGAAGGACCCUACCAGACUAUAUUUGAAUACGGCAUACCCAUGAAUUCUGGAACUGUUAUUCCUUAACCCAGUUUGGAGGAUAAGAGCUUACCAACUAGUUAUAAAUAUGCUGAGGUGAUGUAUUGCAAAAUAGCCAACAUACAACAAUUAAAGGAUAAUUGCAGACUACAUCCUGAUGAAGAUAUGGAUGACCCUCUGUCUGGUCAACAGGGAGUUUAAAUAUGGAUGGGACAGUGAUGUGGCAGCUCUUCCCUGGCUCAUUUACCUCUUGCCUUCAUUUGUGAAAGGAGGAAAGACUGGAGAGGGUCAAUGUGCAACUGAAGCUACUGAUUGUGCUGUGUGAUGAGCAUCAAUCCAUGCUUUGAGGUGGAUGGAUCAGCACAGCCCUGCCUGCUCUGCGUUGGGAACAGAAGUUGCAUCCAGAGUUUUUGCAUCAUUCUGGACCAAAAAGCCAUUCCCUGCAUGAUGAAGACCACUGAUGCAGCCUUCCACUACUGUACAUCAUGAGUAAAACAACUACAGAACUAAAUACCAGGUUGGAACGUAUUUAAGAAAAAUGAAACGUCUUUUGAAUUGAAAUGUCUUUUUUGUUAUGGAAAAAUCUUUAGUAUUGUGAAGGAUAAGCAUUUCUGCCUGCCAGUAAGGUAAUUGCAGUGUAUUUUAAUAUUCAAGUUUUUAGUAGGGUGGCUAAUUUUUUUAACUCUCAUUUGAUAUAUUAAAGACCUUAUAUUAUGCGGUUUUCAUGUCACUGCGCUGUGGUGUAAGAUAACUUUCAUUAUUCCAUACUGUAUUCUGUUUCUAAUUGUAGCUGAGGUAUUUAAAUAAGCAGUGUUAAAUGCAAAGUGUUGUGUGUAUCAAUGUAAAUAUUAAAUGUGAUGUACAUUAAUAAAAAGAGGUUUUGCAAUAUUUCUUGUCAUUUGUCUUUUAUAGAAACAACCCAUUAGCAACAAAAGUGGCUAUUAAUCAGUAUUUUAACACUUAACAUUGUUGAAUUCACAUUACACUGGUGUUGACCUUAAAUUAGGAGUGUUAAUUUUUAACACUGUAUUUGUGUGCCAACACCAGUGUAGUGUGGAAACAACAAUGAAUAGUGUUGAACAAAGUGUAAAAUUUAACAAUAUUGAGUGUUGAAUUAACAUAUAAUGGGUGUUGUUAAAUUAACACUACACUUUUGACUAAAUUAACACAGUGUAGUGUGGACACAUAUACACACUUUGCCGGUGUUAAAUUUGACACCGUGGGUGUUAUUUUAACACCAGUGAUUUUGC